UACAGAGGUCUCAAGCGUUGUUCGGAUUCAUUGGGCGUAAAGGGUGCGUAGGCGGCGCGGUAAGUCGGGUGUGAAAUCUUGGAGCUUAACUCCGAAACUGCAUUCGAUACUGCCGUGCUUGAGGACUGGAGAGGAGACUGGAAUUUACGGUGUAGCGGUGAAAUGCGUAGGAUAAUCGUAAGGAAGACCAGUGGCGAAGGCGGGUCUCUGGACAGUUCCUGACGUGAGGCACGAAGGCCAGGGGAGCAAACGGGAUUAGAGUACCC
rnacentral:rRNA from 1 species